UAGGGAAUUUUCGUCAAUGGGGGGAACCCUGAACGAGCAAUGCCGCGUGUGUGAAGAAGGUCUUCGGAUCGUAAAGCACUGUUGUAAGUGAAGAAUGCCAUAUAGAGGAAAUGCUAUGUGGGUGACGGUAGCUUACCAGAAAGCCACGGCUAACUACGUGCCAGCAGCCGCGGUGAUACGUAGGUGGCAAGCGUUAUCCGGAAUCAUUGGGCGUAAAGGGUGCGUAGGUGGCACGAUAAGUCUGAAGUAAAAGGCAACGGCUCAACUGUUGUAUGCUUUGGAAACUGUCGAGCUAGAGUGCAGAAGAGGGCGAUGGAAUUCCAUGUGUAGCGGUAAAAUGCGUAGAUAUAUGGAGGAACACCAGUGGCGAAGGCGGUCGCCUGGUCUGUAACUGACACUGAUGCACGAAAGCGUGGGGAUCGAACAGGAUUAGAUACC
rnacentral:rRNA from 1 species